rnacentral:rRNA from 1 species
GCUUACCCUGUGAAGGACUCAUAGUAAGCAAGAUUGGCACAGCCCAAAACGUCAGGUCGAGGUGUAGCGUAUGGAAAGGGAAGAAAUGGGCUACAUUCACUAAUAUAGUGAAACACGAACGAUACACUGAAAUACGUAUCUGAAGGAGGAUUUAGCAGUAAGCAGAAAAUAGAGCGUUCCGCUGAAACUGGCCCUGAAGCGCGCACACACCGCCCGUCACUCUCCCCAAGCUUACUAGCCUUAAAUACCUAAAGCCUUAAAACUGCAAAGGGGAGGCAAGUCGUAACAUGGUAAGUGUACCGGAAGGUGCACUUGGAAAAAU